rnacentral:rRNA from 2 species
CAGGGAACUCCAUGGUAGCGGUGAAAUGCGUAGAUAUAUGGAAGAACACCAGUGGCGAAGGCGGCUGUCUGGUCUGUAACUGACGCUGAGGCUCGAAAGUAUGGGUAGCAAACAGGAUUAGAUACCUGGUAGUCCAUACCGUAAACGAUGAAUGCUAAGUGUUGGAGGGUUUCCGCCCUUCAGUGCUGCAGCUAACGCAUUAAGCAUUCCGCCUGGGGAGUACGGCCGCAAGGCUGAAACUCAAAGGAAUUGACGGGGGCCCGCACAAGCGGUGGAGCAUGUGGUUUAAUUCGAAGCUACGCGAAGAACCUUACCAGGUCUUGACAUACUAUGCAAAUCUAAGAGAUUAGACGUUCCCUUCGGGGACAUGGAUACAGGUGGUGCAUGGUUGUCGUCAGCUCGUGUCGUGAGAUGUUGGGUUAAGUCCCGCAACGAGCGCAACCCUUAUUAUCAGUUGCCAGCAUUAAGUUGGGCACUCUGGUGAGACUGCCGGUGACAAACCGGAGGAAGGUGGGGAUGACGUCAAAUCAUCAUGCCCCUUAUGACCUGGGCUACACACGUGCUACAAUGGAUGGUACAACGAGUUGCGAACUCGCGAGAGUAAGCUAAUCUCUUAAAGCCAUUCUCAGUUCGGAUUGUAGGCUGCAACUCGCCUACAUGAAGUCGGAAUCGCUAGUAAUCGCGGAUCAGCAUGCCGCGGUGAAUACGUUCCCGGGCCUUGUACACACCGCCCGUCACACCAUGAGAGUUUGUAACAGAGAAAGUCGGUGGGGUAACCUUUAGAACCAGAAU